rnacentral:lncRNA from 1 species
AAAAAUUCAUAUUCGACCAACAAAUACAACAGCCGAGGAAGAUUCAAGUUACAUUUUCUAAAUCAAUCAGAAUCUUUCCGUAAAUUUGUUUCAACGAAGUUUUAUCUCGAAGUAGGACACACCGUUAUUAGAACAUAUGAGUCUGUAGGAUGUUAGACAAUGUGUUAUUUGUUCUUGAUUAACAACAAAAACAUUCAUCAUAUUAGGAUAUGAACACACGAAUACACUUAAAACAUGUCAUACAGUUUAAUAUACAUAUAAUUUCAAAUGGUUUUAUCUGUUGUUUGUUGUCAAGAGGCAAAUAUAUCAUGCAUAUUCAGUGUGAAAAAUGGACAGUAUAUAUUGAAUGUAUAUGUAAGUCUUUCAGGAUAAAAGACAGAAAUGUAUUCGUCAAAUGAAGGAAAACCGGAAACCAGUCAAUGAGACAGCAACCCAACGACACAAUACAAUUGUAAUGUGUUCUGAUUUCAUUUACAACCUAAACAUCCUUAUAGAAUAUUUAUUUUAAAUUAAAAAAAUAUUGGGGACAUACAUAUGACUUAAAUUAAAAAUUUCCUCUUCAGCAAUUUAAAUAUGGUUAAAACCGAUAUGAUGAAAUGAAUUUAUUUUUAUCAAACUAUCAUACAGUAAGUGGAUGUGAAUCAAAGGACAUUCUGAAUUUCUAUAUACAUAGAUAUAUGAAAGAUUUUGCAGCUGAUUUUGUUGACACACUUGAAAUUAACGCGUUGAUCACACACAUGUACAUGUAUAAUGUACAUAACACAAUUGUAAAUAUUAAAUCUGAAUACGGAAUACAGAUCGUGACAAUCAAUUAAGUUAGAUUUACAGUAAAGAAAACACAAAUAAAUAGAAGAUAUUUUGAAUGACUAAAUGCAUAAACAGAUCCGAGUCCGAAUAAACUCAUUGUCUGAAAGAAUU